rnacentral:rRNA from 1 species
AGAGUUUGAUCCUGGCUCAGAGCGAACGCUGGCGGCGUGCUUAACACAUGCAAGUCGAGUGCGCGGCUGUAGCAAUACAGCUGGCGCACGGCGCACGGGUGCGUAACACGUGGGCAAUCUGCCCUCAGAUGGGGGAUAACCCCGCGAAAGCGGGGCUAAUACCGCAUGACAUUCCGGGGACUCCGGUCCCUGGACUCAAAGGCCGCAAGGCCGUCAGAGGAGGAGCCCGCGCCCGAUUAGCUAGUUGGUGAGGUAACGGCUCACCAAGGCUUUGAUCGGUAGCCGGUCUGAGAGGAUGGCCGGCCACACUGGAACUGAGACACGGUCCAGACUCCUACGGGAGGCAGCAGUGGGGAAUAUUGCGCAAUGGGCGAAAGCCUGACGCAGCGACGCCGCGUGGGGGAUGAAGCUUCUCGGAGUGUAAACCCCUUUCGACCCGGACGAAUGACCCGCAAGGGUUUGACGGUACGGGUAUAAGAAGCCCCGGCUAACUACGUGCCAGCAGCCGCGGUAAUACGUAGGGGGCCAGCGUUGCUCGGAAUUACUGGGCGUAAAGGGUUCGUAGGUGGUGCGGCAAGUUGGAAGUGAAAUCUCUGGGCUUAACCCAGAGGCUGCUUUCAAAACUGCCGCGCUCGAGUGCGAGAGAGGCCAGUGGAAUUGCAGGUGUAGCGGUGAAAUGCGUAGAUAUCUGCAGGAACACCCGUGGCGAAGGCGGCUGGCUGGAUCGCAACUGACACUGAGGAACGAAAGCUAGGGGAGCAAACAGGAUUAGAUACCCUGGUAGUCCUAGCCCUAAACCAUCAGAACUUGGGGUGGCCCGCGUAGGCGGGUCGUCCCGUAGCUAACGCGUUAAGUUCUGCGCCUGGGGAGUACGGUCGCAAGACUGAAACUCAAAGGAAUUGACGGGGGCCCGCACAAGCGGUGGAACAUGUGGUUCAAUUCGACGCAACGCGAAGAACCUUACCUGGGC